AUGACGGCGCACGGCAGUGGUAGAGUUCCGCGUAGACAGCGAACCGGCAGACGGCGGGUCAACGCAGCUGGAGGGGCGGCUGAGGUCGCAGCCACUGCAGUGGAGGAACAAGGCAGCUCGAGGCGGUGGAGGAGCCCGGAGAUGGGCCGCGGUGCGGAGGACGGUGACGGUUUGGGGGCCGCUAUAGCGCACGCGAUGCGGCGGAAGCAAGCCGGCCUGGCGCGAAGUCGGCCACAACAGAGGAGAACGGCCGUGUCUGAAGACCAACGGAGCAACUCCGCUCGAGGCGGAGGCGAGACGAGCCAGCGUUGGGCGGAGUCCGUGACCUCAUCCCCUUCCAUCGUUGGCUCCACGUGA
rnacentral:rRNA from 1 species